UACAGAGGGUGCGAGCGUUGUUCGGAAUUAUUGGGCGUAAAGGGCGCGUAGGCGGUGCGGUAAGUCACCUGUGAAAUCUCCUGGCUCAACUGGGAGCUUGCAGGCGAAACUGCCGUGCUGGAGUGUGGGAGAGGUGAGUGGAAUUCCCGGUGUAGCAGUGAAAUGCGUAGAUAUCGGGAGGAACACCAGUGGCGAAGGCGGUUGCCUGGAGCUUUGCUGACGCUGAGGCGCGAAAGCGUGGGGAGCGAUCCGG
rnacentral:rRNA from 1 species